UAGUGGCGAACGGGUGAGUAACACGUGGGCAAUCUGCCCUUCACUCUGGGACAAGCCCUGGAAACGGGGUCUAAUACCGGAUACGACGCGCUCGGGCAUCCGAUGUGCGUGGAAAGCUCCGGCGGUGAAGGAUGAGCCCGCGGCCUAUCAGCUUGUUGGUGAGGUAACGGCUCACCAAGGCGACGACGGGUAGCCGGCCUGAGAGGGCGACCGGCCACACUGGGACUGAGACACGGCCCAGACUCCUACGGGAGGCAGCAGUGGGGAAUAUUGCACAAUGGGCGAAAGCCUGAUGCAGCGACGCCGCGUGAGGGAUGACGGCCUUCGGGUUGUAAACCUCUUUCAGCAGGGAAGAAGCGAAAGUGACGGUACCUGCAGAAGAAGCGCCGGCUAACUACGUGCCAGCAGCCGCGGUAAUACGUAGGGCGCGAGCGUUGUCCGGAAUUAUUGGGCGUAAAGAGCUCGUAGGCGGUCUGUCGCGUCGGAUGUGAAAGCCCGGGGCUUAACCCCGGGUCUGCAUUCGAUACGGGCAGACUAGAGUGUGGUAGGGGAGAUCGGAAUUCCU
rnacentral:rRNA from 1 species